ACGUCAAGACAAAAGGUUAUUAACCUUCUGCCAUUUCCUCCCUACUGAAAGUGCUUUACAACCCGCAGGCCUUCUUCACACACGCGGCAUUGCUGCAUCAGGCUUGCGCCCAUUGUGCAAUAUUCCC
rnacentral:rRNA from 1 species